rnacentral:rRNA from 1 species
UCACAUCGACGGGGAGGUUUGGCACCUCGAUGUCGGCUCAUCGCAUCCUGGGGCUGUAGUCGGUCCCAAGGGUUGGGCUGUUCGCCCAUUAAAGCGGUACGCGAGCUGGGUUCAGAACGUCGUGAGACAGUUCGGUCCCUAUCCGUCGUGGGCGCAGGAAAUUUGAGAGGAGCUGUCCUUAGUACGAGAGGACCGGGAUGGACAUACCUCUGGUGUACCAGUUGUCGUGCCAACGGCAUAGCUGGGUAGCUAUGUGUGGACGGGAUAAGUGCUGAAAGCAUCUAAGCAUGAAGCCCCCCUCAAGAUGAG